rnacentral:rRNA from 1 species
UACGUAGGCAGCGAGCGUUGUUCGGAGUUACUGGGCGUAAAGGGUGUGUAGGCGGUUCCCUAAGUUUGGUGUGAAAUCUCCCGGCUCAACCGGGAGGGUGCGCCGAAAACUGGAGGGCUAGAGUGCGGGAAGGGAGAGUAGAAUUCCUGGUGUAGCGGUGAAAUGCGUAGAUAUCAGGAGGAAUACCGGUGGUGUAGACGGCUCUCUGGACCGCGACUGACGCUGAGACACGAAAGCGUGGGUAGCAAACAGG